CCUCGGGAGGCAGCAGUAAGGAAUAUUGGUCAAUGGACGAAAGUCUGAACCAGCCAUGCCGCGUGCAGGAUGACUGCCCUAUGGGUUGUAAACUGCUUUUAUAUAGGAAGAAAAACUUUCUCGUGAGAAAGCUUGACGGUACUAUAAGAAUAAGGAUCGGCUAACUCCGUGCCAGCAGCCGCGGUAAUACGGAGGAUCCAAGCGUUAUCCGGAAUCAUUGGGUUUAAAGGGUCCGUAGGUGGACAAAUAAGUCAGAGGUGAAAUCCUGCAGCUCAACUGUAGAACUGCCUUUGAUACUGUUUGUCUUGAGUUAUUAUGAAGUGGUUAGAAUGUGUAGUGUAGCGGUGAAAUGCAUAGAUAUUACACAGAAUACCGAUUGCGAAGGCAGAUCACUAAUAAUUAACUGACACUGAUGGACGAAAGCGUGGGUAGCGAACAGGAUUAGAUACCCUGGUAGUCCACGCCGUAAACGAUGGUCACUAGCUGUUUGGACUUCGGUCUGAGUGGCUAAGCGAAAGUGAUAAGUGACCCACCUGGGGAGUACGUUCGCAAGAAUGAAACUCAAAUGAAUUGACGG
rnacentral:rRNA from 1 species